UACGUAGGCAGCAAGCGUUGUUCGGAAUCACUGGGCGUAAAGGGCGCGUAGGCGGCCGAUCAAGUCGGGGGUGAAAGCCUGUGGCUCAACCACAGAAUUGCCUUCGAUACUGUUUGGCUUGAGACCGGAAGAGGUUAGUGGAACUGCGAGUGUAGAGGUGAAAUUCGUAGAUAUUCGCAAGAACACCAGUGGCGAAGGCGGCUGACUGGUCCGGUUCUGACGCUGAGGCGCGAAAGCGUGGGGAGCAAACAGG
rnacentral:rRNA from 1 species